rnacentral:lncRNA from 1 species
CGGGCUCCGGGCUGUGUGGGGCUGCGACCGCGGGGCGUGAGGUGAGCUGGCCCCGGUCAGGCUGUCCCUGCGGGAAGCUGCUGCGGGGUGAGCUGGGGCUGAGUCAGCAGCGAGACGACCUCUGGCAGAGAAGUGCCGCCCAGGGACAGCCCUGUGGUGUCAAAGCGGUUUUUACACGGCUUCUUGUGGGGCGAGUUCUCUCCACGCGGUGAGGAGCACCAGUUCGCUGUGCUGUGCUCCGUUUGUCGUUUUCCUGAGAGGAAACAUGCGCACCGCAGCUCGUGCCAAGUGUGGCAGUGAUUUCUGCCAUAGUGUCGCCGUGGCAGCCGGACCAAGACUCCAACCACCCAUCCUCUGGUGGCAAUGGCACCUUGCCGGCAGGCUUGGACGCCAGGCCUGCUCAUUCGGCUCUGUCACUCAGCAGCAGCUCCCUCCAUCCUGCUGUCCCUGCUGCCCUCCUACCACCUCAUUACCUUCCAGCUAACCACCUCGUCAGUGGGCUGCAAUAGGACAGAAGUUUGAGCAGUGUGAUGCAAGCGAGCAGAGCUGCCCCAUGCCAGUGGCUCAGCCAUCCUGCUGCUAGGAUUGGGCUCGCCCACACAAGGCAUCUCAGCUUCAUUUUCAAAACAUUCCUCAAGAAGCUGUCUUCUCUCCUUGCCCUCAUAAAUGACAGCAGUUCCUGAAGUAAGAGGAGUGAGAGGAAAACUUCUGCAGAAGCUCUCUGACAGGACUUGCUCCUUUGCCUGUGAGCACACACUUUGUGAAAGCGAGUGUGGGUUUCCAGACCAAAAUGAGGAAUUUCUCUUUCACAACAGAGUCCUAUUGUAUCAAUAACAUGAAGGCACAUUACUCCAAACUGAACAUCACAGGGCAACUGCUUGAGGAAAAAAGAAAAAAUCAAUAUAUGAUGAAAAAGGCACCCAACUCCAGCACAGAAAGGAAAUGCUCAUUUCCAGUAUUCUGAGCUGCUCCUCGUGUCCCUCUAAAUCGCUGUUGUGAUAUUGUCAUUACUCUCCUAGCAUUAUGGUUUCCAAAGACAGUAUUUCCCUGAAUGACAAUGAGGAAGUUUUGCUGCUGCUGUACAAACUGUUAAUUGUUUUUCUGUCAUGCCUUGAGGCCUUGGUGAGGACUCCUUCCAUUGCACUUCGCUCCUAAGAAGAAUUCUGAAGAAGCAUUCCUGCUGCCUCAGGUGCUGCAUUCUCGGCAAUCUGUGUUAUUCAUAUCCACUGUCAAUACAGGGUUAUUCACAUUUUCCAGAAGGAGCAAAAUUUACACAGUUCCCACUGCCCACAGGCAAAAGGGGAUUCAUGUUGGUGUGAAGGUGAAGAAAUCAGUGACACAUCAAUCUGGGAUGUCGGCUAUCUUGAGGUGCACAUCUACGUUUUUGAUGAAAUGCAGAACUUUAUUCUUUAGUAACAGGUGUGUCUGGGUGAAAUUCUAUACCCUUUGAAACAGGUAAGAACAAAGAAGUCUCAGCCACCACCCCCUAGGGUGGAGUUACAAGGUGCAUUCAUCAUCCUCAAUUACAGACAUAUUUGCAGAGGGCUGUGGCAUGACACCAUGAAAGAUGCACAACUAGCUGUUUAAAUCAUUGAAUAGAAACCUAAUUGGGAGGUAUGCAAGUAAGGAGUGAUGGAGUGAUACCUUACCCACCUUUCCUUGGCUUGCCUUUCCUUGAGUGCAUCACCAGUUUUGAGGAGACAGGAAGGCAUGAAUGAUUUUAGGGCUGAUAUUUCCCUCGCACCUCACCUAGUGGCUCUGCAGUAUGUGUUUCUGCAGAAGCCAUUCAGACUGGUCUGCUGGUCACUGCACAUGUGCUUGUGGCAGGCUGCAACCAGGAAGACAACACACUUUGCUUUACAUGAAGUAGCUGGCAGCUCCUGAGUUCGCACCAAAUCCAUACCUCUUUAUAACGCUUCUUGCCUGUCUUUCUUGCCUCAGUCUAAAAACACACAGUUUUUAGUGUGAAAGCUGUACAUGAUACAAUUUUGCUUAUGUUGCUUCAUUAGCAAAUAUUCUGUCCUAGCCACUCUUCCUGUGCCCGUGGACUUAGGUUUACAUUUGUGAGGAUUUAAAACUGGAAGUAUGUCCAUUUUCCAUCUUGAUUCAUGAAUUUUGCGGUCCUUUGUUUACUGCGAGGUGCACAAGGAGGGCUUCUGAAGAAAGGAGACAGGAAACAUAGUCCACAUGUGGCAACAAAGAGGCAGUUUUGGGGAGGUGGUGGUCAGAGAGAUGGGACAUUUCUGGGUGUCUAUCAUAGCCAAAUGACACAUUGUUUUCUGGUAUAAAGAAUAUUUUCAUAAUGAGCAGUGAAUUCAGUCUGGCUGCACCUACAGCCCCAAGAACAAACAGUCUAGAGGUCAGUUUGUCAAUAAAUACCAUCUGCUUAGCAGCAUGGAAUCCAAACUAUUGCAGAAUCCACCUUAAUGGUGGCUGCUGUUUUGCUAGAUAUGGAUGAGAUAAAAAUGUCUACAAAAUACUUUUUUUUUUUUUUUUUUUGUAAAUAGUGUGAUUCUGAUCUCAAAAAUAUGACAGGAAGUGUAAUGGGACUUGUUCAAUCUCAGUUUAAGUCUGAGAGAAUGAAAUGAACAGCUGCAGUUAGCUUCUUUCCUGAAGGACAGCAAAGCACCCCACAGACACCUAAGCUGUAAGUGGAGUUGCUUCUCACAGAGAUUUGGACACUGAUGUGUCUGAAAUAUGUCUUGCUUCCACUCCUGCCCACAAGGGAAGGAAAUGCAACUUUGCGAGCAGCAGAAGUAGCAGAGCCUGGUUUCCUCGAUGCUUCCAUGGAGGCUCCCAGCUGGUUUCCUGCCUCAGCAUGCUGACAACCGACAAGAGGAGAAUUCCUGCUGCAGCCAUUCUCUCUGCAGAGGCACUGGCAAUCCUUGCUGCUUGGCUGCUUGUUUUCCAGUAAUUUCAUAAAAGCAGAGCAUCUGUGGGAUCUUUACGUCUCCGAGGUUCAGUCGAGACUGGCUGUUGGAUUCAAAGGUCUUGAAGAAUCCAAGAGAAAUGAGACAUAAGCAUCAUUUAAAAAUUCUGAAACCAAAAUGAGAACUUUAGCAUGCUAGAUGACUAAUUCUUCCCUGAGCAGAGACGUGUAAGAAAAAACUGUCACACUGUAGUCCAACUUGGAUUUAUGGGUGUGAUAUUCUGCUGAUCUUUUUUAGAGGUCUUCAUUUCCCUCUGUCUGUAUUGUAAAACAUGGAUAAGAGGUUUAGGUACAUAACUGGGAUGGUUAAAUUCUUCCAAAUCUUGCAUAACUGCAAAAUAUCAAAAGAUCAGAUCAAGAAUUUGUCAUAGAAAUUGCCUGGCUGGAACUCGGACUCAUUUUUAUGUCAGUUGUUUUUUGUAGCGAAGGAUCAGGGAGGAUUCCAGGGGAAGACAGACCUGAAUAAGCAACUCUUUAAGACACAAAUUUAAUUAAAAAAAAAAAAGUAAGAUUAAUGAAACAAGGAAGAGGGUGAAGAUGUAAAAAGAAGGUCAUCACUGAGGAGUGCAAUCCACAGCUCAUUGUCUGUGUGGAAGGAUAGCAGUGACGUACAAAGCGGAAUCGUAAAAGGGGUGGGUGAAAGAGAAAAGUUUGCUGGGCAAGUAAACCAUAAAAGGUCUUUUUUAAUGGAGCAUGCUUACUUUAAUGUAAAUCUGCAGCAGAUCUACUUGCUUCCUGACGUUCCAGAGUUUCACUGACGAUGAAGUUUCUGAGACACACAAAGUUGCAAACAAAUAUGGCCUGAAAAUGGCAACAGAGAAAUUGGUUGGGGUGUAUUUACUCCCAGGAAAGGUAGCAUAGAGCCAGGAGUGCCAGGAGAAAAGCGCAGUGAAGUGUAUUUCUUGAAAAUACAAGGGAGAACAGUUUCAACGCCUCAUGUAAGUGUGUUUCUCUGAAGUCCAAAGAAGAGCUGCUUUCAGAUUCCAAAGCUAAAGCUUGCCUUCGCUGAAAAGCUUGACAUCAGGAGUGAUGGCUACACAGCAAUAAGCCAUGCCGAGGGCAGUUCGGAGAUUUUUAAGAGGACACCUGUGCCACCCCAGCCUGCUCCAGCACUCAGGAUGGCCCCAAUGCCUGCAGGGAAAUUCAUCUGUGCUCACUGUUCAAAGCAAGCCCUCCUAUGCUAAAUCCUCUUUGAUCCUCCAGGACAAUGAAGCGACCCUGAGCUGUAAUCAAGCUUGCUUCAGGGCUGGUUUUAGACCCCACAAGAUGUCCAGAAGUGGACACAAUCCACAGGGCCUUUAAGCCCCUUUUCAGAGUGCUCCAGAAAUAUGAACUCUGUGCUCAGCAAUGUCUGAUCGGUAUAAGCCACUCUCAUCUUCUGUCACAUGAGGGCAAGUCACACUUCCUCUGCCUCUUCCUUCCCAGAGUUCCUGUGGACACCAGUGGAAUGGGGAAGCAUUGGUGCUUGGAGCUGGGAGCCCUUCUCCCCAGGCAGUCUCCAACUUCUGCCUUCCAAGCUGCCACUGAGGGGUGAUCUUUUAAACUGCUGACUUAGAAUAGAAAAAGGAGAAAAGAAAGAAGAAAAAGGAAAACAAGAAACAAUUUGGAGCUAUGCCCUUUGUCUUCUCUCCUUGAAAAUACAAAUUAGUACUUUUUGUUUGUUUGUUUGUUUUAAAGAUAAAUAAGAAUAAAUGUUACAAUAUGAAGUAAAUGCUGUUAUAUAUGU